AGGUUUUGAGGAUGGGCUGUUGGUGGCAUUGAGGGAACUGAGGAAACAGACUGCUGGAAAGAAGAGGAGACAGCCAAGCAAGAGGAGGGCUGGAAAGAAGGGGAGUUGGGCCUUGAAUGAAGGUGUAAAAGGAAGCCAGUUUGCCAGACAGCUGCAGUUUGGCCACAACACAAACACAAGGGUCUAGAAGUUUAUAUGAGAAGUUUAAAUGCAGCUUCACCUCUCAUCUCUUAAUCUAAAACUGCAAACCAUUCAGAACUUCUACUGCUCCCAAUGCUCGCCUAAUGGAGUUCAUUACCUAGCGUCUGCCCCAAUCCCAAAGCCAAACGGAGGUGACUCAAACCCAAGUGGGACUUCAUUUUCUGGAUGGCUGUUGCCACAGUUACCGGCUGGUCCAAAACACUAAGUCGUCCUUGGCCAUGGCCCGGGAGAGGGGGCUGCAGGGAGUGAAAGAUGGACAGAUGCUGAAGGACAGACUGGGAGCAUUGUGUCGUAACAGAGUCUGGACACUGGGGGUCAGCGCUGAGUCACUGCAAGUUACGCUGGCAUGGAUCCCACUGUUGUCUGGUCUGUUAU